rnacentral:lncRNA from 1 species
CGUCAUACACCUGCACCCGGGAGGAAAGGCGAGGCUCUGCAUCUAGAUUUACCUCGUUCUCUUUUGUCUCCGCUUUUUUUUCACAUUUCCUUGCGACCCUGGCCCUUGAGCGACAAAAAGGGGAAGCCAAGGCUGGCCCGAGGAACGGAGAGGGCACAUGGCCUAGCCACAAGUGGAGCUUCUGCUCCGCCCGAAGGGAUGCGCUGGAGCGGCCUCUUCCUUCUGCCACGGUCUUUCUUUGCCAACUAGUAGUGCAAUUUCAUGGCUCACUGCAACCUCCACCUCCCAGGUUCAAGCGAUCCUCCCAUCUCAGCCUCCCUAGUAGCUGGGAUUACAGGUGCACGCCACCACACCAGGCUAAUUUUUGUAUUUUUAGUAGAGAUGGGGUUUCACCAGGUUAGCCAGGCUGGUCUUGAACUCCAGACCUCAAGGGAUCCGCCUGCCUCAGCUUUCCAAAGUGCUGGGAUUACAGGUGGAGACUGGACCUCAGAAGAGGGAGUGGGUGCCCCGAGAACUCACAGCUAGCGGACAGUGGAAAGGGCAGGAGCCGGACCAAGGCUCCGGCAUGACGGGUGACUUCUUCCGAGUCUGGCUUCUGCAGCACACAGGGCUUCGCCAGCACCCAGCUCCUGCAGCAUGGGCAGCUCCUGUGACAGCAGGCGCCCGCAGCCUGCAAAGCGUCUCCAGUGCCGCCGCCUCAGUGAACCUCAACCAGCGGCACCUAGCAGCUUUCUCUGCCACCCUCUUCAGGUAGUUCUGUAGCAGCGCGUUUCUCAUGAGACACUUCCCUGUGAGCAGCUUUUUCUACCCUUGAGGAUGGAUUUCCAGCAAAUUCUGCCCAUGUGGUACCACAGCCACUUCUCUGCCAUUCAGUGAAACUGCCGUUGUGCCCUCUUCAAGGUCUGGAUCUAAGCCCAGGGACCAGGAAACCUCUUGCUUGAGUGCUGGAACUCAGGCCAGAAGGUAUGGCUGCUGCUAUGUGCUGUGACCAGAGAAUCAGAGUUCUCUUUACUUCUUACCAGCCAACCUCUUGAAAAUGCCUUUUUGUUUUUUGUUUUUUUUUGAGACGGAGUCUCGCUCUGUUGCCCAGGCAGUGCAGUGGCUCACUGCAACCUCCGCCUCCUGAGUUCAAGUGAUUCUCCUGCCUCAGCCUCACAAGUAGGUGGGAUUACAGGCAUGUGCCACCACGCCCAGCUAAUUUUGUAUUUUUAGUAGUGACGGGGUUUCUCCAUGUUGGUCAGGUUGGUCUCAAACUCUCGACCUCAGGUGAUCCACCUGUCUCAGCCUCCCAAAGUGCUGGGAUUACAGACGUUAGCCAGAGCGCCCAGUCUAAGCCCUUUAUAGCUUAAUUCUAUAUAUUAAAUUUUCCCAGUUCAAAUUACUGUGUGCUUCCCUUCUCCUGAUUGGACCUUGCUUGAUACAAAAUUAGUACAAGGAGUGGUCUCAAGAGAUAGAUGCACAAAGAAGGGAUAUGGGGACGGAUUUGGGUAUUUGGGCUUGAGUGCAGACUGAGCUCCUUGACAAUGAGAAAUAGGAUAUGUAUUAGGGUUCUCCAGAAACAGAAUAACAGAAUCUAUAUAUACAUGUGUAUGUGUGUGUAUAUAUAUAUAUAUAGAGAGAGAGAGAGAGAGCUUUUAUGUGUGUGUAUAUGUAUAUAUAUAAACACACACACACUAAGGUAUUGCCUCACAUGAUUAUGGCAGUCGAGAAGCCC